GAUGAAGAACGUAGCGAAAUGCGAUAAGUAAUGCGAAUUGCAGAAUCCGUGAGUCAUAGAAUCUUUGAACGCACAUUGCGCCCUCUGGUAUUCCGGGGGGCAUGCCUGUUCGAGCGUCAUUAUCACCUCUCAAGCGCUGGCUUGGUGUUGGACCGCUGGGUCGUCCCCUCCGGACAGACCGGUCUGAAAGACAAUGACGGCGUCUCCAGGACCCUCGGUGCAAUGAGCUCCUGUUUACAGAGCACGCACCGUAGUGGCCUCGGGUCCCAUCCACCUCUAUUAUUUUUUCAGGUUGACCUCGGAUCAGGUAGGGAUACCCGCUGAACUUAAGCAUAUCAAUAAGCGGAGGA
rnacentral:misc_RNA from 1 species